UUUCUUUGUGAUCUCGCGAGAGUUUGGCGGGAAUGUUGUGCAGGUUUUGAAAAGAGUUUACGUGGUUGAUGUAGAGAACAUUCUGUUAAUUUGAACUUGUUUAUAUGAUUUACAUUUGGUUGAGCUAUCCAAGUGUUUGUGAGAAGUAUUUAAGUUAACCAUCACGUGAGACAGGAUGUAUGUGAUGUGAAGUGAAGUGCUAUAGAUUCUAAUUUGUCAUUGGUUUAUUGUGGAAUAGGCUUAAGAUCCCUUAGAUCUUGCCUUGAUUAAAGUUAACUUCAACAGAGAAGAUAUAUUGUAUAUUCAUGAUAUUGACUGUAUAUGUAGAUUGGAAACAAUAAAUGAAUAACCACAUCUA